rnacentral:rRNA from 1 species
UGAGUAACCUGCCCUUAACUCUGGGAUAAGCCUGGGAAACUGGGUCUAAUACCGGAUAUGACUCCUCAUCGCAUGGUGGGGGGUGGAAAGCUUUUUUGUGGUUUUGGAUGGACUCGCGGCCUAUCAGCUUGUUGGUGAGGUAAUGGCUCACCAAGGCGACGACGGGUAGCCGGCCUGAGAGGGUGACCGGCCACACUGGGACUGAGACACGGCCUAGACUCCUACGGGAGCAG